GUUGGGAAUAUUGCGCAAUGGGGGAAACCCUGACGCAGCAACGCCGCGUGAGUGAGGAAGGUCUUCGGAUUGUAAAACUCUUUUAUUAGGGAAAAAUGCUGAUGGAGCUAAUACCCCAUUAGUUGAUGGUACCUAAAGAAUAAGGACCGGCUAACUUCGUGCCAGCAGCCGCGGUAAUACGAAGGGUCCAAGCGUUGUUCGGAUUUAUUGGGCGUAAAGCGCGCGCAGGCGGGUCAGCAAGUCAGGUGUGAAAUCUCGGAGCUCAACUCCGAAACUGCGCCUGAAACUGCUAAUCUAGAAUGUCGGAGGGGACAGGGGAAUUUCACGUGUAGGGGUAAAAUCCGUAGAGAUGUGAAGGAACACCGGAGGCGAAGGCGCCUGUCUGGACGACUAUUGACGCUGAGGCGCGAAAGCGUGGGGAGCAAACAGGAUUAGAUACCCUUGUAGUCC
rnacentral:rRNA from 1 species